ACGGAGGAGCUAGCGUUGUUCGGAAUUACUGGGCGUAAAGCGCGCGUAGGCGGUCUAUAAAGUUGGGGUGAAAUCCCGGAGCUCAACUCCGGAACUGCCUCCAAAACUGCUAGACUCGAGUUCGGAAGAGGUAAGUAGAAUUCCCAGUGUAGAGGUGAAAUUCGUAGAUAUUGGGAAGAAUACCAGUGGCGAAGGCGGCUUACUGGUCCGAUACUGACGCUGAGGUGCGAAAGCGUGGGGAGCAAACAGGAUUAAGAUACCCCGCGUACACUAC
rnacentral:rRNA from 1 species